AAAAUAGGAAUUACCUUAAGCAACGUCUCUUAAUCGAUCUACAGAAGAGACGGCUCUCGUAGGACAUGCGUCAGUGGAGAAUACGAGGUAGACAACCCUUGCGUUCAUCAGCUUCUCCCACACCUUCUUCUUGUCUUUUCCCAAAGCCAUCGUUUCACCGAUAGCUGUCGCGUCAUAGAUUCUUAACGUUAUAGUCUCUUCCUUGUUCACGGUCGUAGACGGCGGCGGUGGAGGAGUAACCGCCGGAGGAGAUGCUGGUUCCGCAGGAGGAGUCACAGUGGCGGAAGAGCUUUCUUCAGGGGCUAAAGAUACGGAAGGCUUGAGAAACAGGGAAGCAGCGGCGGAGAGGAGUGGCGGCGCGAGGAGAAAAGCGCGGCGGGAGAAGGCGGUUGAUGAAGGAGGGUCGGAAUCAAAAAAAGCAACAAUGGAUAGAGAAUUGUUCUUUCUAGUGAGGUUAAUCGGAAGAUGAAGGCCAUGGCGGAGAGGAAGGGAGGAGGAGGAGAGGCAGGGGCAGUGAAGGGAUGGUUGAGAAGCAAAGAGUUAAUUCGUGGCCGUGAGUUUCAUUCUCAGACAAGAGCAACCCGUUUGUACACAUCAGCAAUAGUUACAUCCGUCAUUACCAUCCUAAGAACAACCAUCAACUAAGGAUGUUGAUUUUGAGAUCAUUGUUGUGGAUGAUGGGAGUCCUGAUGGCACGCAAGAAAUCGUCAAGCAACUUCAGCACUUGUAUGGUGAAGACCUAAUACUUCUAAGAGCUAGAGCCAAGAAGCUUGGUUUGGGUGAAUAACAGGGACAUGUCAAUUGCUGUCCUAAGGGCCUUUAUAUCCAAACGCAAGCAAGAGCAUGAGGCUAUGUUAUCUAAAAGAGCUAGAUCUUCUGGUAAAGUGCCUGAAAAGGAUGCUUCAUUCCGAUGGUGCUUCCCCUUCCCGCCCUUUAAGGUCCGUGAGCUCUGUUUUCACUGUAAUUAAGAUCAUUUAGAUUGAAAGAUUUCCACUCUUUUCUUGAUCGGAUCUUAACCCUCUUCAUUUUGUUCAAAGCUUGUUAUCUCUUACACAAAAAUUAUUUUGUUCUUUUGUUACAUAAAACUUUUUUUUUAUAAGAAUCUCUAAUAAAAGACUCCCAUUGGAGCACAAAAAUGUUAGUGUAUCUUAACUAGGUCUCUUAAAUAACAUUUAACUAGGUUAAGAUCCGCGCCUUGCGCGGGAUCAACAUUAUAUAUAUAAAUCAUUUUAUGUAUUAAAUAUUUUUACAUAUUAUGAAAUAAUAAAUAUACAUUAAA